rnacentral:tRNA from 1 species
GAGGUUGAGGCUCAGUGGUAGAGUGCUUGCCUAGCAUGUGUGAGGCACUGGGUUCGAUCCUCAGCACCUCA